CUACGGGGUGCACCAGGCGCGAAACCUCUACAAUACACGGAAGUGUGAUAGGGGAACUCCAAGUGCUUUGCUUUUUGCAAGGCUUUUGCCAAUACUAAAAAUCUUGGCGAAUAAGUGGUGGGUAAGACUGGUGCCAGCCGCCGCGGUAACACCAGCGCCACAAGUGGUGAUCGUUUUUAUUGGGCCUAAAGCGUCCGUAGCCGGUUUGAUAAAUCUUUUGUGAAAAUGUUAAGCUUAACUUAACAAGGUGCAGAAGAAACUGUCAAACUUGGAACUGGGAGGAGUUAGAAGUAUUCUUGGGGUAGCGGUAAAAUGUUAUAAUCCCAAAAAGACUACCUGUGGCGAAGGCGUCUAACUAGAACGGAUUCGACGGUGAGGGACGAAAGCUAGGGGAGCAAAACGGAUUAGAUACCCCUGUAGUC
rnacentral:rRNA from 1 species